rnacentral:lncRNA from 1 species
UAUUUAAUCCCAGACAAAACCUAUUCUAAAGUUUAUAAUACAGUCCCUGCUUCAAUUUAUUAUAUUUUUUCCUCCAAAUAUUUCCAUUUUUUUGUUUUAAAUAUUAAUCGAGUAAGUCUGGUUGGAAUCUAGGACUAAAAUCUGUAACUCUUAAUAUUCUAUUGAUAACUUUUGUUCUGUUAUCCCCAAGUUUGCAUUAAUAUACACAUAGAUUCAGGGGCCAACCCAUUUGUAAAUUGGCAGCUAAUAGCAAGACAAAAAAGUUGAUUCAGGACUUAUAAAGUAAUAA